CGGACUUCCUCUUCAGCUGGACGAACACAGACGUCGGCUUCUGCAGGUUCUGGUCUCGGUACUUCGGAGUCUUGAACACGAUGGCGAACUGACGGCAGAGAAUACAUCGCCGGGUAGCAGUACUACUGACCUGUCUGUGAACAUCUGUCGGGGAGAAAUCUCCCAGAGCCUCCCAGGUCAACCCCGAGUCGUCUUCUUCGUAGAACCGAACCUGGAUGUCAUCUGGAAACACAUUUUAAAAACUUUCCAUUUUAAAGAACGCAGCGCUGUCUCUGUUCGUCCAGCACUUAAAAUGUAGAAUCCAUACAAUUUAGGAUUCUGCUUAAUAUGACAUCGGACCCCAGUCGCUGCUUGCACACUCUCUCCACCUCUAGGACUGUUUUCAGGGCGCUGUGACUCUCUGACCGCUGAGCUCCUGCUGUUGCUGUUGCAGAAACUAAUGUUUGUUGUCGAGUCUGACCUCAGCGGAAAUCUCUGCGAGCAGCUGAACUGGAGGAUUACAGGAAGUCGAGUCCAGAUCAGCUGCUGGUUCUCUGCCAAAAAAACAAACCAACUAGAACAAAGAAGAAGCAGCCGACAGGCCUGAAACAGCCUUCGCAGCCUGAUCGGUCUCUUCCGCCUGAGGGAUUUACAUACCGGCGGGGAAUUCCCUGAAGCUGGACUUCCUCCAGGAGAACAAACUGCUCCAACAAGGAAAAACUGUUCAGCUUCACUGCGUUCAAAUGAAGCUUCAGAAAAACAACUUCAGUUCAAGGAAAUUAGACCGCUGUCAUUUAUUACAAUUAAAUAUGAUUUAAAUGCUAAAAA